rnacentral:rRNA from 1 species
UGAGGAAUUUUGCGCAAUGGGGGAAACCCUGACGCAGCAACGCCGCGUGGGUGAUGAAGGCCUUCGGGUCGUAAAGCCCUGUCAGGUGGGAAGAAUGUCCCGGAACUGAACAGGUUUCGGGAGUGACGGUACCACCAGAGGAAGCACCGGCUAACUCCGUGCCAGCAGCCGCGGUAAUACGGAGGGUGCAAGCGUUAUUCGGAAUUACUGGGCGUAAAGCGCGUGUAGGCGGUCCUGCAAGUCUGAUGUGAAAGCCCCGGGCUUAACCCGGGAAGUGCAUUGGAAACUGCGGGUCUUGAGUACUGGAGAGGAUGGUGGAAUUCCCGGUGUAGAGGUGAAAUUCGUAGAGAUCGGGAGGAAUAUCAGUGGCGAAGGCGCCCAUCUGGACGGUAACUGACGCUGAGACGCGAAAGCGUGGGGAGCAAACA